UCAAGAUAAGGAGACAAAACCACACAUGUAUUCAUAGUCACCUCCCUCCAUACACACACAUAUGCAUGCAUGCAAAUACACAUACAUGAUGGAAUUCAGUUUUCAUCUACCAUAUCCAUGCACAAAGCUUUAGUUGGGUUAUAGCAGUAGAUACUUGCCCAAGGUGCCUCACAGUAGGAUUGAACCCAGAACCAUGUGGUUGGGAAAACAAAUUUCAUAACCAUGCAACCAUGCCUGCAUCUAUCAAUUCUACAAUAAACUUAAUCUAGCCAUUAAUGCAUAAUGAAACUGACCUAAUCGUCAUUAUAUAAUAAUCCUGGUAAAACCAUAUUUAUAUAAGAAAUUUAAUAAGUAGUAAAAUUAUCCUGAAAAGUCACAAUACCAUAAGAUAAACACUGAAAAGCAUUACGUGCACUUCAUUAAUUAUGUAUCUUGUGCUGUAUCAAUUUAUCCUGGCUUGAAAGUAUAAUAUAAUGAUAUAUUAUGAAAGCUGAUAUCUUGUCAACUGACCACACACUUAGUUUUUUUUAAGCAACUGAUGUGAUUAUUGAAGAACAGAGCUAGCCUUAACACCAGUGAAAUGUCAUUGAGCUGUAUAACACCACUUUCACUUAAGCUGCUUGUCACAGUUGAUGAUAUUUCUCUGAGCUGGACUCCAUUUAACGACUUCACAAUCAAUUUAUGAUAAACCCGACAAAGCCCUCACUUUAUAAUGAACAUAGCCAAAUCAUCACUAUAACAUGAAGCUGGUCUGGCCAUCACUGUAUAAUCAUCCUAGUCUGUCAUAAACUAUAAGAAACUUGAAUUAUCAAUCGUAGUACUGCUGUAACAUAUCCAGAAAUACAGACAGCAAAAUUAAUCAUUAAUGUAAUAUUUUAAUAAUUAUUAUAUCAAACAUACACACAAGUAAUAUUUUUACUCUUUCGAAGCUUUGUAAAACUUCUGUUGCAGCUAGCUCAUAUUAACGGUGUAUAGCUCUUCAGUUGUGUAUUCUUUGUUGCUGCACUUUAUAUCUGCUUCAUGCUAUAAUAUAGAAGUAAAUACUGAAGGCCAGUAACUUGCCACCAGAGCUCACACACAUACAAAAUUAUUUUAGCAAAUACUGUGAUUACUAAAAUCUGGAUCUAGACUUCCCACCAACGAAAUAUCACUGAUGUAUAAAGCAUCACUUUUAGUUAAACUGCCAGUCUGCAUGAUUUAGCCAACACUGGAUGAUAAGUCCAUUUUUAACCAUCAGUGUAUUAUGAAUCUGGCUUAAUCCUCCUGUAUGAUAUAUCUGACACAUAUUUCUGUGUAGAAAUCUGGUUAAUCGCCCAAGGUAAUCAGAACCCUAUGUAGCUAUUUAUGUGAUAUGAACCGUCCCAGCCAUCAUUGUAUGAUGAACCUGCACUGCCCUACUUUGCACUAUAAAACUUGACCCUGUUAUUUCUGCACAAUGAAACUGACCUUGUCCUCACUGCACAAUAUAUGUCCUAGUCAUCACCAUCCAAUGAUCUAGUCAACUUUUACCUUGUAACGAAGCUGACCAAGUCAUCUUUGUACAAUAUAUAUCCUAGUUGUCCCUAUAAGAUGAGUCUAAUAUGUUGUCACUGUAUAAUAGAGCUCGUAUUUUCAUCACUUAGCACUAUGUCAUAGUUACCACCAUAUAAUGAACCUCUCCUAGUCAUCACUCUACAAUAAAUCUCUCCCAGUCAUCACAGUAGAAUUAAUCAACCUCACAGUACAAUGAAUCUCAUUGAACUAUUAAUGUGUAAUGAACCUAUCCAUGCUGUUACUGUACAAUGAAGUUUACCUAGUCACAACCAAGUAUUGAACCUCUCCAACUCAUCCCUGUAUUAUAGCAAUUAUCCAGGUCAUUCCUGAAUAAUAAAUUUCUCCUAGCCAUUCAUGUAUGGUAAACCUACCCAAUUCAUAAUUGUAUUAUUAAUAUACCACCCUGUUAAUGUGUAAUAUUUGUCAGAAUUUUUGAUGUUAUUUGAAAUUGUAUUCUAUUUAAAAUUAACACUUUGAUUGCUGUUACAACAUUUUAUAUAUAAUUUUCUGUAGACUUAUAUUUACUUCUUUUUUCAAACAGAUAUCAGUUUAAAAUGAAAUUCAAAACAACUGAGCUCCCCUACUCUCUUUCUCCCUCUUUAUAUUUUAUCAUCAAUACUAAAUUAAAAGCAUUAUUAUAUUAACUAGAAUCCACAGAAUAAAUAUUUACAACCAACUAAAAUCACUGUAUAAUGAAUGUCUUCUUGUCAUCACUGUAUAAAAAGAAUAUCAACUUCAAGUCCAUUGAAGACAAUGUUUUAGCAUCGUCACAGUUCAAUGGCUGAAAUAAGUGAAAAAAAUAACUUCAUGUUUGGCAUUUUAUGGGAAAUGAUGUCAAGGAAAAUAAAUCAAUAAAUAAAAACUCAAAGACUUUCUUGCUACUGUUUCAAGGACCAAUUUAAGCUUGAACUGAAAUAAGCUAACUUCUAUAUCAGCAACUGGUAAUUUGUUUCUGGUGGAAAAACUUAGUGAGCAACUGCCAGAAGAUACAUAGAUUCAUGUGAAGAUCUUGCAUAUCAAGGAAACAAACUCAAGGAAGGAAAAUCUGUCACAUUCAAUACUUCACAUUGUUUUAAAUUAAUCAUGCAGUGUCUUGUAACUUAGAGAUUUCGAUGACAUGAUUGUAUUUUUUUAGAAUUACAUUGUAGGGUAGAUGUAAAAGGCCAGAAUUCGAGAAUUUGAACAUAAAACAGGUAGAAUAUUUUGGUUAGAUGUGACCGGUUUAAAUGCUAAUGAGUUAAGCAAGGUGAGCGGAGGUGACGACAAGUGAUCGAAACCUCUGGCGAUUUGCUAUGCUUGAGAAGACACAUCAAGCCAAGGGAAAUCGUAGUCAUGGCUAGUGAUGGUGACAUGUAAAAGACACCAAUGCGAGUGGCACAUAAAAGGCACCUACUACACUCUUGGAGUGGUUGGCGUUACAUCCUCAGUGAUGGGAACAUGACUGUUGUCAUGAAUCACGGGAGAUAACUCUAAAUUUUACUUACUCAAACAUAGUGUAAUAUUUUUAUAAGCAUUCUUAUAUUGAUAAAUCACAUAGGUGUUAGCCAUUCAGUGAUGUAUUCCCAAUAAAUAAAAAUUUCCUUCUUAGAGAAAGAAAAAAAAGCUGAAAAGCAAAAAAAAGCAAGCUGAAAAGCAAAAAAAAA